rnacentral:rRNA from 1 species
AGCAGCCGCGGUAAUUCCAGCUCCAAUAGCGUAUAUUAAAGUUGUUGCAGUUAGAACGCUCGUAGUCGGAUUUCGGGGCAGUCCGACCGGUCUGCCGAUGGGUAUGCACUGGCCGGAGUGUCCUUUUUGCCGGAGACCGUGCCUACUCUUAACUGAGCGGGGGCGGGAGACGGCACUUUUACUUUGAAAAAAUCAGAGUGUUUCAAGCAGGCAGCUCGCUCUUGCAUGGAUUAGCAUGGGAUAAUGAAAUAGGACUUUGGUGCUAUUUUGUUGGUUUCGAACACCGAAGUAAUGAUGAGAAGGGACAGUCAGGGGCACUCGUAUUCCGCAGAGAGAGGUGAAAUUCUCAGACCCGCGGAAGACGAACCACUGCGAAAGCAUUUGCCAGGGAUGUUUUCACUGAUCAAGAACGAAAGUUAGGGGAUCGAAGAUGAUCAGAUACCGUCGUAGUCUUAACCAUAAACCAUGCCGACUAGGGAUUGGAGGAUGUUCACUGAUUGACUCCUUCAGCACCUUACGGGAAACUAAAGUCUUUGGGUUCCGGGGGGAGUAUGGUCGCAAGGCUGAAACUUAAAGGAAUUGACGGAAGGGCACCACCAGGUGUGGAGCCUGCGGCUUAAUUUGACUCAACACGGGGAAACUUACCAGGUCCAGACAUUGUGAGGAUUGACAGAUUGAGAGCUCUUUCUUGAUUCGAUGGGUGGUGGUGCAUGGCCGUUCUUAGUUGGUGGAGUGAUUUGUCUGGUUAAUUCCGUUAACGAACGAGACCUUAGCCUGCUAAAUAGUGACGCGAACUCUUUGUUGGCGGUCCACUUCUUAGAGGGACAACUUGUCUUCAACAAGUGGAAGUUUGAGGCAAUAACAGGUCUGUGAUG